rnacentral:rRNA from 1 species
GACGAACGCUGGCGGCGUGCCUAAUACAUGCAAGUCGAGCGAAGUUUUUCUGGUGCUUGCACUAGAAACACUUAGCGGCGAACGGGUGAGUAACACGUAAAGAACCUGCCUCAUAGACUGGGACAACUAUUGGAAACGAUAGCUAAUACCGGAUAACAGCAUUAACUGCAUGGUUGAUGUUUAAAAGUUGGUUUUGCUAACACUAUGAGAUGGCUUUGCGGUGCAUUAGCUAGUUGGUGGGGUAAAGGCCUACCAAGGCGACGAUGCAUAGCCGACCUGAGAGGGUGAUCGGCCACACUGGGACUGAGACCCGGCCCAGACUCCUACGGGAGGCAGCAGUAGGGAAUCUUCCGCAAUGGGCGAAAGCCUGACGGAGCAACGCCGCGUGAGUGAAGAAGGAUUUCGGUUCGUAAAGCUCUGUUGUUAGGGAAGAAUGAUUGUGUAGUAACUAUACACAGUAGAGACGGUACCGAACCAGAAAGCCACGGCUAACUACGU